rnacentral:lncRNA from 1 species
CUUGUUUUAGAGAUGUUUUUCGUGUCGGAAAGAAAUUAAGUUUUUUAAAAUAAUAUAUGUUACUUUAGUAAAAAAAAUUUUUUUUUUUUAAACUGAGAAUGAUUUAAAAAUUUUUAAUUUGAUUUUUAUAAUGAUAAACAGGUAAUUUUUCGACUCGGUGGUGAAAAAAGACUCGAACCUACGGUUGAAAAGGAGCGAGAGAAAAACAUUAUUGAAGAGUAGAGUAUAGCAAAAUAGAUUUUGGAUCUCGGUAUUUCAAAUUUUCGUUCUUUUGUGUGUGGUCGAAGGGAAGUAAAUGCACAAAUUUUUAUAGUGGAAAACGUUAAAAAGAUCAUACUUCAUUCCUUCCAUUACUUCCACCCCAAUGAGUCACGUGUCUUUUUUUGUGUGUUCUCCCUUUUGUGGGGGUGGAACAAAAGAGGAUUGCAAACCCCUGACCAGUAGCCACGAGAAUCUAACGGAUGUUCUGCAUUUCCAUAUCCGUUUAUUCUUUGAUUUGUUGUUUGUCCGUUUGAUUGUUUUAUCUCUCUCUCUCUCUCCCAAAAUUGUUUGGUCGGUGUGUCGAUCCUUCUUAAUUCGAUAUCUAGGUGUAACGCGAAGCGAUAUCGAACCGCGAAAUUCUCGUUUUUAAUUUGUCAAUAUUCGAUAACUUACAAGCGAUUUUUUUGAAUUUCGAAAUAUUCUAAAAGAAGAAAAAUGUAUUUAACGAUUAAAUCUCACAAAAAUUUAUUUUGAUAUUCAGUUAAAAAAAAUUUCCCCCCCCAAAUUCGAGAAAGUUGAGAAUAAAAUUGGUCACGCGUCUCGUUUUGUGUUCGGUAGAUGGCAGCACGUGACUGAUGACAUUGAUAGGGAGGAAGGAUUUACUUCGAAUGGAAGAUUGGAAGGUUUUGUUUGAGUUUGGAGAAAAACUCGACUGGACCAGUUCGUCGAUGAAGACUAUGUACGUAUCUAUAUAUAUAUAUAGAAAGAGGGUCGAUUAGGAAAUUUAACAUAAUGUGAUUAAUGCUGUAAGUAGUUAGUUAAAAUGAAGCAUUAAUCAUGUGCGCUGUAUAAGACAGCUGUUGAAUGCGAAUUAAAACAAAAAUUUAAAUUUUGGUUUAGAAUUAAAGUUAGCGAGAGAUAAUGAUGGUUAUUAUCUUGAUGACUUUUUGUGUCUUUAGUGAAAAUCAGUAUUUAGAGAGUAAUUGCGGAGAGGCUGUUUUUGUGGGUGUCGGAGCAGAAGAGGUGGAAGAGUUUGGGUCCCGGGAUGGAGGUAUUCCACUCUGACCAGGUUGAGUCUAGGUGGCGCUGUCGGGUGGCAGGGCGGCGGCGAAAAGCCCGGUCAAUCGGCAAGUGUCUAGACACUCGUCUAGACUAUACGAGUCCAGCUCCUAGCUAAGAGCUGCGUCGGCGGCGCCCAGCCGAAUCGAUAUCGACCGAUGCAAAGACUGGCCAUUUACACCGUGCUUCGUCGUAGACUGGUUCAGUCUUGGCUUUUAGGUGGUGCCAUUCACCUCUUUGCUUCUACGUACCUGCCUCUUAUCUUCUCUCUUUCUGCUUACACGUAAGUUUCUUUCUGUUUCUCUACAGGUUGUUUCUUCCUCCCUUUCUAUCCUCUCCUCAUCUUUACCUCGCCCUCCCAUCCGUCAUUAUUUUAAGGAAUUUUUGCAUCCCGUCAAGGUUGAUGGCCUCUCUCUCUCUCUCUACUAAUCUGUUUAUCUCUCUCACACCCAGAGAAACCAAA